GGUAUCCCUGUGUUGCUUACCCGCGGAAAGGAAUUCGAUGGUUAUGGUUUCCCCAUCCGCCUUGCUUCCUUCGGGGUGCGGGGUGGACGCGAGGCGGGCUCCGUGUUCCCCGCGUGCCGAGUGCGUUGACGCUCGGCCGCUGUGGCCCAUGGGGUCUCGGCCCGUGCUCUCGGAUGCGGAAUGUUAUGUGYGGGCGUGGGGUCUCGGCCUCUGUUCGUCCGAGCUGCACGCAUUGUCCCUGACGUGAACGACCGUCGCGCUCGUCUUGAUCGGCCGACCGAGCCCCCGUCGCGGGGCUCCGGGAGGGCGGCUCAUGCGGGCGU
rnacentral:misc_RNA from 1 species